rnacentral:tRNA from 1 species
GAAAUAAGAUAACCGAGAAUAAGCUUCUAACUUAAUUCUUAAGCAAUGGAAUUUUGUUUUUAUUUCU